rnacentral:rRNA from 1 species
UAGGGAAUCUUCGGCAAUGGACGGAAGUCUGACCGAGCAACGCCGCGUGAGUGAAGAAGGUUUUCGGAUCGUAAAGCUCUGUUGUAAGAGAAGAACGAGUGUGAGAGUGGAAAGUUCACACUGUGACGGUAUCUUACCAGAAAGGGACGGCUAACUACGUGCCAGCAGCCGCGGUAAUACGUAGGUCCCGAGCGUUGUCCGGAUUUAUUGGGCGUAAAGCGAGCGCAGGCGGUUAGAUAAGUCUGAAGUUAAAGGCUGUGGCUUAACCAUAGUAGGCUUUGGAAACUGUUUAACUUGAGUGCAAGAGGGGAGAGUGGAAUUCCAUGUGUAGCGGUGAAAUGCGUAGAUAUAUGGAGGAACACCGGUGGCGAAAGCGGCUCUCUGGCUUGUAACUGACGCUGAGGCUCGAAAGCGUGGGGAGCAAACAGGAUUAGAUACCCUGGUAGUCCACGCCGUAACGAUGAGUGCUAGGUGUUAGACCCUUUCCGGGGUUUAGUGCCGUAGCUNACGCAUUAAGCACUCCGCCUGGGGAGUACGACCGCAAGGUU